rnacentral:rRNA from 1 species
UACGUAGGGUGCAAGCGUUAUCCGGAAUUAUUGGGCGUAAAGAGCUCGUAGGCGGUCUGUCGCGUCUGCUGUGAAAUCUGGGGGCUCAACCCCCCAGCCUGCAGUGGGUACGGGCAGACUAGAGUGCGGUAGGGGAGAUUGGAACUCCUGGUGUAGCGGUGGAAUGCGCAGAUAUCAGGAAGAACACCGAUGGCGAAGGCAGAUCUCUGGGCCAUUACUGACGCUGAGGAGCGAAAGCGUGGGGAGCGAACGGG